CUCUGUAUUUGUAAGAUGUAGAAUAUCAGAUUGAGAAACAAACUCCUGGUUAUUAUUGGAGUACUCAGUCUCCAUUUUUCUCUUUGCCUUUUCAGUAAGUACCUGGAAAGAACUGUCAACUGCUUUUUCCAGCCUGGCAAACAGUGACAUAAUUGAUUAAAAUCGGUUGAGUAUAACAUCAUGUCCUGAUUGUUUCCUACAGGGAUUAUUAACUAAGGGAAGAGUGCACUUCAGUUUUCUUUCUGACAACUUCCUAGUCCUUCAUAUGGGGAAUGAUGCCCUGGAAGAAUCUCUGGACACCAAUAUCCCCAUAGGACAGGGCUGAAGGAUUUCUAUAUUCAGCCUUUCCUCCAGUAGUUCCUGGUUUGGUGGUUAAGGCUAAAGGGUAGAUUUCUCCAGGAGGAUCUUCCUCUAAACUAGCUGUGUCUCCAUACUGAGCCGACUGAAUAUAUGCUGGAGAAUCUGAUAGCAGAAACACAGAUCUUAUGCCGUCUGGAUUUUGAUGAUAUCUCUACUUUCCUCAGGAAACUUGAAUUGGAUUCUGGCAUUCCAGCCUAAUUUAUAGGCAUUGCUUUUCAGAUGCCUGAAAAGAAUUCAGGUGUCCUUAUUUUCCAGGCUUUGGCUCCAAAAUCAUAGCGAACCAAAGGAACAGACUCAGCUACCGCUGACCAUCACCAUUGCAGUCUGCAGAGACCAGGAGUGGAGAAUUUCUCAGCUUCACCUGGACCACAGUGAAACUGCAGGUCGCCAGCUCUUAAACAGCGCGCGCCAGGCCCCCUCGCUACGCCCCAACGGCCAGAAGGGAGCGCUCGAACUCAACGUAACGACCCAACCGGCAUCUCCCACCAGCGGAACCUGCCAGGGCGUCAAACGCCGGGUCCCGCGGAAACCGCAGCUUCGCAGGCAGCGGGGGGCCCCUCCCGGGAGAGGCGCCGCGGGAAUCCGGGACAGGGUGGGGCCGCGAGGACAGCGAGCAGACCCCUCCCUUGUCGGGCCUGACCGCCGAGGGGGAGCUGAGCCGCACUUCGCACCGAGCCUUUAAUGUUCAUGGUCGGCCCCUGCGUGGAUCCUCUCCUUUGUCGAGCAGUGUUUCAGCCAGAGCGGUUUACAAAGGGCUCAUUUCCUCGGGAUGCGGGGCAGGACUGAAAGUGCACUUCGUGGGGUGACAUUCUUUUCCCACAGUUUGAAAAUAUGAUUUUAUGGCAGGCCAUUAUUUUGAUAAUCUUUUCUUCGGCUGAAAACAGUGAUAACUGUCUUGUUGGCACAUUUUUAGGCUCGGUCUGCAUUUUGACUAAAUCAAAAUUUUCAUCAAGUGCUUCUCUAUGUAUUGAGACAUACACUUCACUAUCAGAGCAGUGACUCCACUCGGCCCUGUAGCGGCAUUGACCCCGACCAUGUGGAUGGCUGUGGAGAGACCUUUGGAAUGUUUGGCCACGUUGGCUUCAGCGGGCUGAAUUGUGGUCCCAGGUGAGCCCAGAACACCCGCAUCCUUGUCACAAAUUGCAGAACCUGCCUGUGGUUCAGGUGCGGUGUAGGUCCUGAAGAAGAUACCCCAUGACUCUACCAAGCAUGCAACGAUCACCAAUUAUUCGCAUUGAGCACACGAUCCUGCACAGUGUCAUCAAGAAUGGCUGUAAGAAAGGACUUACCCAUAAAGGGGUCUGGCAGGCAUUGCUUUUGUGCUCAAAGACACCCUCCCCCUCUACACCACCUGCUCCACGCGCAAGAAAACAUGUGCACACACUUGCCGAGAUGGCACCAAGUUCAGGUCACCUCGUCGGUGUUCUAGGCAGCCACCAGCAGGUGGAGCCUGAGUCAGGUACUGGGGGAGAAGAGCAAGGAAUGGGAGUGGCCUGAUUCGUGGUGAUAGAGACCUUCUCCUUCCUUCCCACCUGUCUGUGUCCCUCCUUUUCACCCACUCAACCCUUGACCCUUCCUCACGCUCUCCUCACUUCGCUACAGGUGCUGUGCGUCUGCCGUCUGCCGUGUGAACAUUCCUGUCACUGAUGACCUGGCGACCCAUUUGCCCUGCUUUGGUGUUGUUGAGCCCGGGCAACGCCUCAGGGGGACCAAAUGGCAGGGAGAAUUGACUUUUGAGUUCAAAGUUUGUUUCAAAACAGAUGGGUCUUGCGGACAAUGCCCACCUCUGAGUAGCACCCGUUGUCGUCUCAGGCCUGAGCACAUCCAUCUCAGCACCUAGUUUGCAGUACUGACCCCCUUCGUUGCUGGGCUGCCUGGUGGGCAGGAGAGGGGGUGACCUGUGUCAUGGCUCACUGUUCAUGUCCCUAAUUUUGCAUCCAGUUCCUUUCCAGUGGCUUAGAGAGUGACAUGCGUGUUACUGGAAGACGUGUCCGUUUCUUUCCCGAACCUGUAAACAGUGUUUUCUCUUUUCCCUCCCGGCUUUGCUGAGCCAAUUUUAUCAGCUGCCCUGCCUGCAGCUACCUCCCCAUCAGGAGGGAAAAGUGGAGAACACAUCCUGCUUUAGCAACCCCAACACGCCCGUGGUCCACGCUUCCCGACAGACCACCACCACCAGCAGCACUUUACCAGAACAGAGCCCCAAGUUCUGCGUCCCCUACUGGCCCCAGGGCACGUCCCGUGGGGGUGGGGGGCCAGCGGUAUGCUUUCACCGAGGCUGAGAAAUGAGUCGCAGUGCCCACUUCUGCAGCUGUCAUCUGGAAGGGAAUGGGAUCUUGGGCGCAGGUGGAAACUGUGCCCCACCAUAGAUUCAUGGUCCUAGAUGUUUCCCCCUCACCCUCUGAACUCAAGGCUUCACUACAGCAAUUUUGAGUUCCACAGGUGGGGUGUAGGAGUUACAGUCCCUGCUCUCCACUGGGGCCAGCUCAACACCUUUGCAAGCGGUUCGUGCUAAACUUGUGUGCAGUCCUAAACUGGCCUCAUCUCUGUCCUGAAUAUUUGGAUGAUACUUGACCCCAGCUUCCUGGAGGGAGCGCUAGAUCUUGACUGCCCUUGUGUUAGUUAGUGACAGGAGAUUUGCCAGGUACCCAGGCAGAUAAUGUAGGAAGAUGAGAAUUGGUGGAUGGUGGAGAGCAAGGCCCAGGGGUGCAGGGCAGGGACUCUCUAUGAACCCAGGCUCUAGAAGGGGUGACUUAUGGGCCCUUGAUCUGUCCUGAGAGCCCACAACCACCUUGGGAGAAGGGAUUGUGCCAUUUACUUGGUGCUGUGGGCGUACAAUCUCACACAAUCUAGCUCUUCUGGGUAUGCUUAACAUGUCCAGGAAAGUGUGUAUAUAAAUCUUGUGCGAUUCCUGUGACCAAAACAAAGCUGUCAACUUUGAACACAUACGUGGAAUCCCAGAGAAUGUCCACCAUGUCUUUAAGGUGAGGUACACAGGGUUAUGGAGAUACAGGUAUUCGAUGUUUCACCUUCUACCCCUCAGAAAAAAUGUUGAGCACACACCUCCAAUGUUUAUUUUUAUUUAUAAUGUAUAUAUUAUAGUUAUAAGAUACUAUGCAUAUUAUAAAGUGUAUGUUUGUAAUAGAGAUUUUAAGAUGGAUAAGAAUCUAUGAUAAAAUAUUUUUUUAAUGUUUAUUUUUGACAGCACAAGCAGGGGAGGGGCAGAGAGAGAGGGAGACACAGAAUCGGAAGCAGUCUCCAGGCUCUGAACUGUCCACACAGAGCCCGAUGCGGGACUUGAACCCAUAAACUGUGAGAUCAUGACCUGAGUCAAAGUCAGAUACUUAAACAACUUAGCCACCGAGGAGUCCCUGUGAUAAAACAUUUUUAAAUUAUAUUUUUAUUAUUAAAGGGACAUCAUGAUUUGUCCUCAAAAAAUACACAUAAUAUGCCCCUAGGACAAUGUGACAAUCUGCAUCAAUAUGCAGGGUAAUUACAGGAAUAUAAUGAUAUUUCAUAGAAUCCAAGUAAAGGUUAAACAGUAAAACUUGAGAAGAGGUAAGAACUACAUAAACUCUAACAACCUCAGAACAUUGUCAUUAAUGUGACUUAGCUCCUAAGUCUAAGGUUCUGGCUUUCUUGAGUCAAUUUUUUUUUCAUUAGAGAGUGCUUUUUUUUUUUAAUUA